CACAGAGUUAGCCGUCUCUUCCUCUUCUGGUACUAUCAAUACGCACGCAGUUAACGUGUGCACCUUGUUCCCAAAUGACAGGAGUUUACAAUCCGAAGACCUUCAUCCUCCACGCGGCGUCGCUCGAUCAGGGUUUCCCCCAUUGUCAAAAAUUCUCGACUGCUGCCACCCGUAGGUGUCUGGGCCGUGUCUCAGUCCCAGUGUGGCUGGUCGUCCUCUCAGACCAGCUACCCGUCAAAGCCUUGGUGAGCCGUUACCUCACCAACUAGCUGAUAGGCCGCGGGCCCCACAAGAAGCGUCAGGUUGCCCCGACUUUAAUUUUGAAAGGAUGUCCUCUCUAAUCACAUGCGGUAUUAAUUCGCCUUUCGGCGAGCUAUCCCCCACUUCAUGGCAGGUAGCCCACGUGUUAAGCACCCGUUCGCCACUAACUUUCCAUCGUAUUGCUACAACGGAAAGUCUCGUUCGACUUGCAUGUCUUAUCCACGCCGCCAGCGUUCGUUCUG
rnacentral:rRNA from 1 species